AAAGUCAUAGUAGCAGGUUGAGGCAAGUGUAGAAGUUACAUCUCUAUUUCCCACAGAGAGGAAUAUUCACAUAUGUGCAGUGUCAGCACCACCUGGAAGGUUAUUACCUAAUGGAGAUCCAUCUGUCCUGUGUGGAAUCCAGUGAGGAAUUUUAUUGGUGGAACUGAAUGUUAACUGCUGUAAAUCCUAGGAAAUAAACUUUUAAAGAGUUUCUCAGGAUGAUUUAAAACAAAUUUUAAAAAAGAAAAGUAGAAAACAUUUUAUACUUUAUUCAGAGGAGAUGCUCAAUAGAUGUUUGUUGAAUGAAUGAUUAUCAAAUUAAAGGAUUUCCUAUUUAUGCAAAUCUGCAU
rnacentral:lncRNA from 10 species